rnacentral:rRNA from 1 species
CCUACGGGCGGCAGCAGUGGGGAAUAUUGGACAAUGGGGGCAACCCUGAUCCAGCCAUGCCGCGUGUGUGAAGAAGGCCCUCGGGUUGUAAAGCACUUUCAGUGAGGAAGAACGCCUGGUGGUUAAUACCCAUCAGGAAAGACAUCACUCACAGAAGAAGCACCGGCUAACUCCGUGCCAGCAGCCGCGGUAAUACGGAGGGUGCGCGCGUUAAUCGGAAUUACUGGGCGUAAAGCGCGCGUAGGUGGCUUGAUAAGACGGUUGUGAAAGCCCCGGGCUCAACCUGGGAACGGCAUCCGGAACUGUCAAGCUAGAGUGCAGGAGAGGAAGGUAGAAUUCCCGGUGUAGCGGUGAAAUGCGUAGAGAUCGGGAGGAAUACCAGUGGCGAAGGCGGCCUUCUGGACUGACACUGACACUGAGGUGCGAAAGCGUGGGUAGCAAACAGGGUUAGAUACCCGAGUAGUC